AGGCAAUGUUUCAGCCAAGGAUGACUUGCCGACCUAUUUUUCUUUUAACAUUCCAACGUAAAUCCAUGGCAUAUAUAUAUGGUUGUAUAUCAUAUUGAAGUCCAGAUCUAGAACAUUAUAAUAAAUGUUAUAUAGGGUUUAUCGGCAAGUCAUCAUUGGCUAUAUCAUUGUCUCA
rfam:Gossypium hirsutum cultivar TM-1 chromosome 14, whole genome shotgun sequence